UGCGCAGCUUACCAUGCAAGUCGAGCGGUAACAGGGGGUGCUUGCACCCCGCUGACGAGCGGCGGACGGGUGAGUAAUGCAUAGGAAUCUGCCCAGUAGUGGGGGAUAGCCCGGGGAAACCCGGAUUAAUACCGCAUACGUCCUUCGGGGGAAAGCAGGGGAUCUUCGGACCUUGCGCUAUUGGAUGAGCCUAUGUCGGAUUAGCUAGUUGGUGGGGUAAAGGCCUACCAAGGCGACGAUCCGUAGCUGGUCUGAGAGGAUGAUCAGCCACAUCGGGACUGAGACACGGCCCGAACUCCUACGGGAGGCAGCAGUGGGGAAUAUUGGACAAUGGGGGCAACCCUGAUCCAGCCAUGCCGCGUGUGUGAAGAAGGCUUUCGGGUUGUAAAGCACUUUCAGUGAGGAGGAAAACCUUCUGGUUAAUACCCAUGAGGCUUGACGUUACUCACAGAAGAAGCACCGGCUAACUCCGUGCCAGCAGCCGCGGUAAUACGGAGGGUGCAAGCGUUAAUCGGAAUUACUGGGCGUAAAGCGCGCGUAGGUGGUUUGAUAAGCGAGAUGUGAAAGCCCCGGGCUUAACCUGGGAACGGCAUUUC
rnacentral:rRNA from 1 species